rnacentral:rRNA from 1 species
GAGUUUGAUCUUGGCUCAGGAUGAACGCUGGCGGCGUGCUUAACACAUGCAAGUCGAACGAAGCGCCUCAUUUGAUUUUCUUCGGAACUGAAGAUUUGGUGACUGAGUGGCGGACGGGUGAGUAACGCGUGGGGUAACCUGCCCUGUACAGGGGGAUAACAAUCAGAAAUGACUGCUAAUACCGCAUAAGACCACAGCACCGCAUGGUGCAGGGGUAAAAACUCCGGUGGUACAGGAUGGACCCGCGUCUGAUUAGCUGGUUGGUGAGGUAACGGCUCACCAAGGCGACGAUCAGUAGCCGGCUUGAGAGAGUGAACGGCCACAUUGGGACUGAGACACGGCCCAAACUCCUACGGGAGGCAGCAGUGGGGAAUAUUGCACAAUGGGGGAAACCCUGAUGCAGCAACGCCGCGUGAGUGAAGAAGUAUUUCGGUAUGUAAAGCUCUAUCAGCAGGGAAGAAAGUGACGGUACCUGACUAAGAAGCCCCGGCUAACUACGUGCCAGCCGCCGCCGU